AACCAUAGUGGUAGUAGCACUGUAGUAAUACUGUAUUUAGGUUGAUUGGUGGUAUUGUACCAGUAUGAUAACUCCUGCUAUUCAUCAGAUCUGUCUAAUUCAUGUUCUAAACACUACACUCUGUAUCCCUCUAGCUCUUUUCCUCCAUGUAUCCAUUCACUCUCCCUCCUGCCUUCCCCAUCUGUGCUUUUCUCACAUGCUUUCAUUGCAAAAGAAGGCUACUAGGUAAAGCCUUAUCACACUCCCUCUGACAGAACUUUGACCAGCCAAGCAGACCUCUCUGACCUCUGAGAACCUUCCUCUUAUUGGCUGAGAAUUCCAUUGACCCCACCCUUCCUUGUCCUCCAGAAGCAAGCAGUGUGAAUCUUGUGCCUCUGCCACUGCUGUGUUCCAAGCGGUGGACGAGACAGCUAAGUUGUAAGUAACCAUGAGUCGAGCCUGGGCCCACCCCUACAUCAGCAACGUGGUCGGAUACACAACCCUGUUCGCAUCCGCAGACCUCAUACAGCAAAGCAUGCUUGGAGGGAAACAGAGUGGUGGAUUAAACACAGACAAGGGAACACUCACCAUCCAUGACUCAGAGGGGGCCAAGCUUAACAUGGAGGGAACCAAUAUUUCCACUGGUCUUAGUGUAUUAGAAAACAAAGAGGACCCAUUGGAAAACUGGAGGGAGAAAUUCUGGACUUCAUACAAGACUGGAGUGGUCUACUGGUCAACAAUGCAGGUAGAAACAAUAACAACACAUUAUAUGCA